GACGAACCGUGCGAACGUUAUUCGGAAUCACUGGGCUUAAAGGGCGCGUAGGCGGGUCUUCAAGUCCGGGGUGAAAUCCCACGGCCCAACCGUGGAAGUGCCUUGGAUACUGAGGACCUCGAGGGGGAUAGGGGCGUGCGGAACUCAGGGUGGAGCGGUGAAAUGCGUAGAUAUCCUGAGGAACACCGGUGGCGAAGGCGACUUCCUGGCCUGUUCUUGACGCUGAGGUGCGAAAGCGUGGGGAGCAAACAGG
rnacentral:rRNA from 1 species